ensembl:lncRNA
CGGAGUUGCGACCUUUUGGAAAAGUGGUCAAGACUUGGCUGUUUGGUUGUGCAUUUAAGUAAAUCAGAUCUAAUUUGCCAAAUAGUCACUGUUGAAUAUUUUUAGGUUUAAUGUUUUUAUGUUGAAUGUUUUUAUGAUGAAUGUUUUUUAUAUUGUGGAAUGAUAUUUUAAAUUGUAAGUUGCUCGGAGCACUCUGGUGGAGAGCAACUAAUUAAGAAAUAAAGUGAAGUGAAGUGGUGCAGCCAGCUUUUGCUGGCAACAAACUGAUUCUAAUGCCCAAGCCGCUCCCCUUGUGCCUGCUUCGAGUCUGCAUCUGGGAAACUGCUCCUAAGGAUUUAUCGCUGUUUCUUUGUUUGAAGUAAGACUGCUACUUGGUUUGGGAAUUUAUCAGAGACUUAAGAACUGUAUUUGCCCCAAGACUUCCUUGCUUUCUUUUGCAUUAUACCACUGAGUGUGCUGUUCUUUAUGUUUUGCUGAAGUAAAGCAGUUUUCAUUUACCACAUUGUUUUGAGGCUGUUCUUGAAAGACAAAACAGGAUGGAAUCCUAGGAUUUCAAAUUGGGCAAAAUAUUAUUGGCGGAGAAGACUCCAUAGUAUUGAGCCAUGGCAGCUAAAUUGUGUCAAACUGCAUUAAUUUACAGUGGAGAUACACCCCGAGUUGUACUUUGAAAGAAAGAAAGGAGGAACACUGAAAAGAGGUCGUGAAAAAUAUUGCAGAUAUUUUCUGAAUUUUUUCACGAUGAUGUGUGAAAUGGAACUGAAUCAAAAUAGUGCAAUCAAGACUUCGGAAACCUCGGAACGAAAUGGCCUGGCCAUUAUUACACAGUGAACCCCUCAAGUUCACAAAUGAAUGCAAACACACCAAGCUGCCGCUCGAGCGAGAGCUGGAAGACCUGCAGGGAGUUAAUGCAGUUUUUUUUUGGCAUUUACAGAUCCUUUGUGAAAAGGUCACCCUGUUCUUGGAAUCUUUUAUUAACACUGAAGAGCAGUCUGGAAAAUGCCAUCUCUUCCUACCAUGAUAUUUACACAAAAGCAUCGAGAGGAAGCAUCUUUGAAACGCAUUGCAAAUAUGUUCAAAAAUUUUGGGAGAACUUUUUUUAAAGAAAUAAAGGGAAUCACCAAAACAGAAAUAAUACCCUGUUUCCCUGAAAAUAAGACAUCCCCGGAAAAUAAGACCUAGUAGAGGUUUUGCUGAAUUGUUAAAUAUAAGGCCUCCCCUGAAAGUAAGACCUAGCAAAGUUUUUGUUUGGAAGCAGGCCCGUCAAACAGAACACCAGAGCAUGCAGGAUCGGUAAAUGUAUGUACCAUAGAGUGUUGUACAUGGAAAUAUUGGUAGUAACAAGAAAUUCUUGAUAGGAUUCACAGUUUGUCUGGUUAUGCUGGUUUGUGAUGACAACUACUGUACAGUAUAUAAUGCUCAUUUUUUGUUCAACAAUAAAUGUGAAUUCUUUUUCAUGGAAAAAUAAGACAUCCCUGAAAAUAUGACCUAGCGCAUCUUUGGGAGCAAAAAUUAAUAUAAGACACUGUCUUAUUUUCGGGGAAACACGGUAGGAACGCCUGAAAUAGGACUGUUGUCAUUUAUGGAUAAUAUUCAAAUAUCAAAAGAGUUAAAGGAACUAAUCGCCAACUUGGUAACAGCAGCCAAAAAAUGGAAAGGAAGGGAGGAGUGCCAAUUGGAAGAAUGGUAUAAGGAGAUUUGGGAUAUUGCGAUAAAUGAUAAAUUGACAUGUAAUAUUAAAAUUAAAAGAGGGUUAUUAAAAAAGGAUGAUUUUGGGAAGAUUUUGGGCUGUGGCACAGCUGGCUAGUAACCAGCGUCAAUAAAUCACUACUGACCAAGAGGUCAUGAGUUCAAAGCUCGGGUCGGGUUAAGCCCCCGACCAUUAAAUAGCCCGGCUUGCUGUUGACCUAUGCAGCCCCUAGAGGAGGGGGUGGGGCCUCUUCCCAAGUGCCUCACAGGGCUGGGCCUCUAUACCCCACUCCCAUGGUCUAACAAGCACCUCAGGGGAGUUAUAGAGGCUCAGCCCUGUCUCAUGCUCUUGGAAAGAGGCCCUGUCCCUGCCGCUCGCCCUGCUCUAGUCCUAAAAGCCCUCUCAAGAGAGGUAUAGAGGCUCAGCCCUGUCUCGGGCUGUUGGAAGGAGGCUAUUACUUAGGCGAUCCCUCGUAGGCCGAGGAUGAUGGUCCUCCAGUUAUAGGGUCUUGGGGGUGGGUUCUUAGGUGGCUGAAGAGACCUAUUCUUGACCCGCAUAUUCUCCCGCAGUGAGGACAUUGGUUUCCAGGUGGAAGGCGGUCCCGAUCAGGGUUGGCUUGACGCUCCUUCCUCUUGGCACGUUUCUCCCUUAAGCCCUCCAUUCAUGCCUCUUCGAACUCCGCAGCACUGCUGGUCACAGCUGACCUCCAAUUAGAGCGCUCAAGGGCCAGGGCUUCCCAGUUCUCAGUGUCUAUGCCACAGUUUUUAAGGCUGACUUUAAGCCCAUCUUUAAAUUUCUUUUCCUGCCCACCAACAUUACGUUUCCCAUUCUUGAGUUCAAAGACCCUGUCCCUGCCGCUCGCCCUGCUCUAGUCCUAAAAGCCCUCUCAAGAGAGGUAUAGAGGCUCAGCCCUGUCUUGGGCUGUUGGAAGGAGGCCCCGCCCCCUUCCCUAGCUCCGCCCUCUGUGUCCCAACAAGCGUCUCAGGAGAGGUAUAGAUUCUCAGCCCUGUCUCGGGCUCUUGGGAAGAGGCCCCGCCCCUCCCCUGGCCCCGCCCCCGUGUCCUAAUAGGUGCCUCAGGAGAGAGGUAGAGGUUCAACCCUGUCUCGGACUCUUGGAAUAUGCGGAAUACAUAAAUCAAUUUUGUGAGAUGUAAUUCCAUUCCGGGUAUGCGUAUUCAGCAGCAAAGCACAAGGAAAGAUGUCUUCACUGUAUCUGUUUGUGAUCCCCAGGUGCCAGUCAGUUUUUGUAUGAUAUUAUUUCUAACACCUACUUUUGGCUUCAUAGUCAGUCAGUACUUCUUGUAAGUCAGACUACAGUCCAGUGACUCCCAAGUAUGUUGUCGUGCUGCAAUGCUCCAGUGGGGUUCCUUCCCAGGUGAUCCUCAGAUCUCGAGAUGCUUGUCUGUUCUUAAGGUGGAAAGCACACGUCUGCAUUGUAGAUGAAUUAGGAAUCAGCUGGUUUUCCCUGUCAUAGGCAGUAAGAGCACCUAGAGCUUCAGAGAGAGCGCAACCAUUUCAAAGCGGUGAUGGCACGAUUGUCAGCAUAGAUG